rnacentral:pre_miRNA from 1 species
UAACUACUCCCUCCGUUCGGAAUUACUUGUCGCACAAAUGGAUGUAUCUAAACGUAUUUUAGUUCUAGAUACAUCCAUUUCCGAGACAAGUAAUUCCGAACGGAGGGAGUAUGAA